UGGGGAAUAUUGCACAAUGGGCGCAAGCCUGAUGCAGCCAUGCCGCGUGUGUGAAGAAGGCCUCGGUUGUAAAGCACUUUCAGCGAGGAGGAAGGUGGUGAACUUAAUACGUUCAUCAAUUGACGUUACUCGCAGAAGAAGCACCGGCUAACUCCGUGCCAGCAGCCGCGGUAAUACGGAGGGUGCAAGCGUUAAUCGGAAUUACUGGGCGUAAAGCGCACGCAGGCGGUUUGUUAAGUCAGAUGUGAAAUCCCCGGGCUCAACCUGGGAACUGCAUUUGAAACUGGCAAGCUAGAGUCUCGUAGAGGGGGGCUAGAAUUCCAGGUGUAGCGGUGAAAUGCGUAGAGAUCUGGAGGAAUACCGGUGGCGAAGGCGGCCCCCCUGGACGAAGACUGACGCUCAGGUGCGAAAGGCGUGGGGCAGCAAACAGGAUUAGAUACCCUGGUAGUCCACGCUGUAAACGAUGUCGA
rnacentral:rRNA from 1 species